rnacentral:rRNA from 1 species
AUUGAACGCUGGCGGAAUGCUUUACACAUGCAAGUCGAACGGCAGCACGGGGCAACCUGGUGGCGAGUGGCGAACGGGUGAGUAAUAUAUCGGAACGUGCCCAGUCGUGGGGGAUAACGUAGCGAAAGCUACGCUAAUACCGCAUACGAUCUAUGGAUGAAAGCGGGGGAGUCGCAAGACCUCGCGCGAUUGGAGCGGCCGAUAUCAGAUUAGGUAGUUGGUGGGGUAAAAGCCUACCAAGCCUUCGAUCUGUAGCUGGUCUGAGAGGACGACCAGCCACACUGGAACUGAGACACGGUCCAGACUCCUACGGGAGGCAGCAGUGGGGAAUUUUGGACAAUGGGCGCAAGCCUGAUCCAGCAAUGCCGCGUGCAGGAUGAAGGCCUUCGGGUUGU